rnacentral:lncRNA from 1 species
GCCUCAGAUAUUGGAGAUUCCAAAACCUCGGGCUACAGGGGGGUCAGAUACAAGGAAUUCGGUCUGAUGGGUGUAAAUUGCUGCCAACACUGAAGAACAGUUGCCAUCCAUGCCAUGCUUCUUUCAAGUCCCAGAAAUUAUCCCAAAGAAAUAAUUCACUGCAGGGCUGCCUCUUCAGAGAAGACAAGAGGCCAAAUAUUAACACAAUUGCAUCAGUUUGGACCUCAUGUACUUUCCCCAGCCACAGAGGAAGAAGAAUUUACAUAAUUGUGUGGCCUUCUCUGCUCUCUUCUCCCUGUCCCAUCCCUCAGAACAGCAGCACCCAGAUUUCAUUCCUUCACCCGCUGAUGUGGCUCCUGCAGAAGGAGUCGGUGCCUGAAUGGCAGGAAAAUCACCUGAGAUGUCCUGGCUGCCUGUGCAUUGAGAGGAUUCCAGUCUGCAGAGCUCUCCUUGUGACAGAUUUGCAGAUGAUCCUUUGAUUUUACAGGGAGAGAGAUGUGUCACUGCUGCCAUUGAUGUCAUGGAAUUUAUUUCAGCAGGUGAUUCAGUGCUGCUGUGCAGCAGGACAAGACAUUUUUGCCUUUCUAACAGAACAUUCAGUCCCAUCUUUGCCUGUGCUGAUGGUGAAAACUGAGGCCAAAAAUCCUCUGUGGCUUUGUAGGCAGGUGGGACAAGGAUUCAUGACUGGACUCUGUUAAUUCCUGGCAUCCAAAUUGCUGCACAUCAGGAAGGAACCUUUUACAAAUCCCAAGGAUGAUUUCAGGCUCCCCAGCAUGAGCUCCAAGAGGUUUUAAAGAGCUCUGGAUCCCCCCUGGAACAGCAGCACUGACACCCCUGGAAGUUGUUGCUCCACCACAGCACCACCUCUCCCUCAGUCAGCUCAAACUGUGGAAAAGGAGAAUUUCUGCUCAGCUCACAUUGUGGAAGGGGAGAAUUUCUGCUCGGGGAAGCAGAACUUGUACAACAAAUUGCACCAGAGGCGCUGGUUUACUCAGAGAACAUGGCUGAUUGAACAGCAGAGCAAUGAAUCCCUGAAUCCUCCCCAGGCCUGGCCACCCACCCCCUCAGCAGGAUCAAUCCAUUCCCUCCUGGCAGCCACAGGGGGAAUAAAGUGGGGAAAUAUGGUGAGAAGGUGCUGCA